GAGCAGAGGAGGAGGCGGGAGUCAGAGGAUGGGCAUCAGCGGCGGCAGCUCCUCCUCCCGUGGCCGGUCUGUGGCGCUGCCUUAGAGGCUCGGGUUGAACCUGGAGGUGGGGUAAGAGCGACAGGCUCCAUCCCGAGAGGGGGUGAAGGCGGCGGCUUCUCCUCUUCACCCCCCUACCUACCCCACCCCAGCCCAGCCCACCGCGGCCAGUGAGAGAGUCCGGGUAAGAUGCGGCUGCCGCCCGGGACUGGGAGGCCGCCAUGGAGGGGAGGAGGAGGGAGGGAGCGGCUGAAGAUGUAGGGGCAGGAGGGAGGCAGGCCGAGUCUCUCAGGAUGUCCGAGAGCGGUAGCGGUAGCGGUGGCGGGGGGGGCCUGAAGACGGUGCGGGUCUGGCGCGAGGCGGCUCGCCGCUGCCGCAAACUCCGCGGCAACUGGCGGCAGUUGAGCGCGAGCGGCCCGCGCCUCAGCCUCCCCUCGGACAUCGGGCACGUGCAGGUGCUCAACCUCGCCAACAACUCGCUGCUCGAGCUGCCCGACGGCCUCGACUCGUCGCUGUCCGAGCUGCGGGCGCUGAUCCUGCGGAGGAACCGCCUGAGGCGCCUGCCCUCCCGGCUGUGCGGCCUGCCGCUGCUCGACGAGCUCGACCUGGCGCACAACUGCCUGGCGGCGCUGCCGGCCGAGCUGGGGGCGCUGGGCCGCCUCCGCCGCCUGUGCCUCAGCCACAACAAGCUGCAGCAGCUGCCGCCCGAGAUCGGCGGCCUGUCCGCCCUCGAGGAGCUCGACGUCAGCUUCAACGAGCUGCGCCAGCUGCCGGCCAGCCUGGGCCUACUCGCCCGGCUCCGCGCCCUGGACGUCGACCACAACCGCCUGAGCCACUUCCCGCCUCAGAUCCUGCAGCUGGCCGAGCUGGAGGAGCUGGAUCUCUCCGGGAACCAGAUCCGGGCCCUGCCCCGGGACAUCCCGAGGCUGCGCUCCGUCAAGAUCCUGUGGCUGAGCAGCCUGCGCCUGUCGGCGUUGCCCGACACCUUCUGCGGCCUGGCCGCCCUCGAGAGCCUCAUGCUGGACAACAACGGCCUGCGGGCCGUGCCCGAGCGCUUCGGCGAGCUGCGCCGCCUCAAGAUGAUCAACCUGUCGUCGAACCGCCUGGAGGAGUUCCCCGGCGCGCUGCUGCAGCUCACCGGCCUCGAGGAGCUCUACCUCAGCCGCAACGAGCUGUCCGUCAUCCCGGCCGGCAUCGCCGCCUUCAGCAACCUGGCCGCCCUGUGGCUGGACAACAACAAGGUGCGCUUCCUGCCCGACUCCAUCGUGGAGCUCUCCAACCUGGAGGAGCUGGUGCUGCAGGGCAACCAGAUCGCCAUCCUGCCUGACUCCUUCGGCAGCCUCUCCAAAGUCAGCCUCUGGAAGAUCAAGGACAACCCCCUGAUCCAGCCGCCCUACGAGGUCUGCAUGAAGGGCAUCCCCUACAUCGCGGCCUACCAGAAGGAGCUGGCGCUCUCGCAGCCCGCCGUCAAACCCAGGCUCAAGCUGGUGCUGAUGGGCUCCAAAGGCGCCGGCAAGACCUCUCUCAGGCAGUGCCUGGUUGGGAACGCACCGGGUGCCCCUGCAACUCACGCCAAGGGAAUCGAGGUGACCCAGUGGGUGGCAGAUGCUGAGAAAAACCUGACCUUCAUUGUCUACGACUUGGCUGGGGACCAGAACUAUGAUCUUAUCCAGCCCUUCUUCCUCUCCCCGGGUGCACUGUACGUGCUGGUGGUCAGCCUGAGAGCCUAUGCCCCCGAUCGGUUUUACGAGCUGGUUGGCUAUUUCUUGCACUUGCUCGGUGCCAGGGUCCCUCACGGGGUCGUGUGUGUGGUAGGAGCGCAUGUGGACCAAUGCAAUGAGAAAGAGGUGGAGGAAAAGUGCCUGGACAUCCAUCAUCAGAUCGCACUGCAGGAGAAGAGAGAUGUUGAGUUCAUGCAGGCUGUGGCCGAGAAGGUGGAUGGCGCACUGGGGCAAGAGUUUGACCUGCGAGCUACAAGCCCACAUGCGCCCUUUUACGGAGUCUCUGAUAAGAAUUUGAGGAGAAAGAAGGCCCAGGUGCAGUACCUAUUGAACAACCGUCUUCAGAUCCUGUCCCCAGUUAUCACUGUCAGCUGUCAGGGGGACCAUGUUGGAAUUACUCGCUUGAAGGAAAAGCUUCUUUCUGUGGCUGAACAUAGAGAGAUUUUCCCGAAUCUGCAUAGAGUCUUACCCAAAUCCUGGCAGAGGCUGGAGGAACUGCAUUAUAAACCUCAAGAGCUCUGGCUUUCCUGGUGGGAUUCUGCCAGGUUGGGAUUACAAGCUGGUCUUACUGAGGACCGACUCCAAAGCGCCCUGUCCUAUCUGCACGAAAGUGGCAAGCUGCUGUAUUUUGAGGACAGUCUGACUCUCAAAGAGUGCGUCUUUCAUAACUUGACCAAGCUGAUUGACAUCCUGAAUGUCUUCUUCCAGCGCGAUGCCUCAGUUCUGCUCCAGAAACUCUUGGCAGAUGCCAAUAUUGAUGAGCUGAGGGCAACACAACUGCACCAUUAUGUGGAGGGAUUCCUGCUUCAUGGACUGCUCCCUCUGCACAUUAUUCGUCUGCUUCUCAAGCCGCAUAUUAAAACUCAGCAGGAUCUUCAUUUGAUUCUGGAACUACUGGAGAAGAUGGGACUCUGUUACUGCCUGAACAAACCCAAAAUUACUCCUAUAAAUGGUGUACCCAUUUGGUUUAAAUUCCCCUGUUAUGUGAAAAAUGAAGUUCCCCAUGCAGAAGCCUGGAUCAAUGGGUCCAACCUUUCUGGACAACAGUUGGCAAUCGAACAGCUCCAAGUGGAGUAUAGUUUCCCUUUUUUGUUCCCACCAGGCUUAUUUCCCAGAUAUAGUGUCCAGAUCAACUCUCAUGUUGUACACCGGUCAGAUGGCAAGUACCAGAUCUUUGCUUACAGGGGCAAGGUUCCAGUGGUGAUCAGUUACAGACCAACCCAAAGUAGCUUGCAAGCAGACACCUUAUCUAUUGCUAGUCAUGCUUCUUUGCCAAAUAUUUGGACUGCAUGGCAAGCCAUAAUUCCUCUGAUGGAAGAACUGAAUGUACUCCUCCAGGAAUGGCCGGGGUUAUACUUCACUGUGCAUGUCCUGUGCUCUAAGUGCCUUAAAAGAGGGUCUUCAAAUCCUCACACCUUUCCAGGGGAGCUACUGACCCAGUCCAGACCAGAAGGAGUAACUGAGAUCAUCUGUCCCAAAAAUGGGAGUGAGCGAGUGGAUGUGGCUUUGGUCUAUCCUCCGACCCCCACUGUGAUCAGUCCCUGCUGUAAGUGAGCAGUGGGCCAUCGGGCUAGUCUUCAACAAAAACAAAACCUUUAAAAUUCUGUUCAAUUAUUUGGCAGGCGACAAGGUUUUGGAAAGAAUAAGGUUGACACUGAGCUGAAGUUUUCGCGACCAGUUGUGGAUUGUUUAUUUGGAUAUGUGGAAGGAAAUGGCUAACUUGCAGGUGCUCUUCAACAAUGGAUUUGCAGCAGUUCCAUGAUGGGCCCACGACAUUGGAGAUGUUGUACAUGAAUGAAUUAAUAAUUGUCUGUGCACAGCAUAGAAAGAGGCUCUCCUGUCCACUGCAAGUUGUCCUUCCAUGGAUUUCAUUAUUUGAAAGCAAGCUGACCUGAUACACCCAUUCUUCCAACAAAUAGCGCAGACACAGUGUUCCACAACUUAUUUUUUGGAAUAGGUGGCUCUUCAGGGAUUUUCUUUUGCAGUGUUUUACUAAAGCCAUACUUUCAGUGUUGUCUGUUGGAAUAAAAUGCCAAAUGCAACUGUUCUGUCCUCGAGCCUGAGGCAUAGAUGGUCUAGAGCAUAUUAGCACUAAUUUUGAUUUUUGAACCUAAUGAAAGAUUUAAUUUUAAAGCUUUCAAGGAACUGUUUGUGCAAUACUCAGUGUGAUAAAAUAAUCAUACUCGCAUUGUGUUAUCUGCAUUGUCCUCCUUGUUAAUAGUUGAGCAAGGUCCCAGUUGUUCCUGAUCUGAUUCAUCAUACUUUCCACUACACGGAGGAAUGGGUUAAAGCUGCAAGGUCCCAUUGUUUCCAUUUAUUUGUUCAGGAUUAUUAGUUAAAGUGGAAUCCUGGUAAACAAGUAGCAUUUGGAAGAUGCGUUUUCUUGACAAAAUAAUGUUUUAAUCGACACACAACACCUGCAUUAUUAUUUCAUCCUAUCUGUACCCUGUUGAAGUAUGUUUUCCCUUCUCUCUGGGAGCCUCCUCAUCCCUGGGUUGCUACAUUGUAAAUUCAAGUCCUACUCUAGACCUUGAACUAAUAAUCUAGCUGACACUUCAGUAUAGCGCCAAGGGAGUAUCAUAUUCUAAAAUGUUUUUGUCUUUUAGUAUUGAGAAAAAUCCAAAAACAUUAUUUGGAGAAGUGUAGGGGAGUUAUCCUGUUGUUUUGGGCAACAUUCAUCCCUUAACGAAUAUCACCAAAGAAAAACUUCGCCUGUUAUUGUUUUGAUUGCUGUUUGUGGGAUCUUGCUGUAUGAGAACAAUUUUGUACAAAAUAGUCACUGCAUUUCAGAAAGUAUUCAAUGGAAUGAGAACCAUUUGGGGACAUUCUGAGAGCAUGAUAAGGCAGUUUAUUAGGACAAGUACUUUCUGCUGCAAAGGGCUUUUCAAAGUUAUGCACCUACAAAUCAUUUUUGUUAAAUUAACACAUCUGAAGAGAAGAAGUAAAAUCAGUGCAGCUUACAAAUAUUUUAUUUUUAUGUUGCUAAUAAAAUGACUAUUGCAAUGGAACUGAAACAUUUGCACAUCAAGUCACCUUGGAUAAAUGACACUUAUUAAAAGGAUCAGUGGAAACUUUUCUGUUUCAGUUUUAUGAUCGCUGCUACACAGGCACAGAAUGAUGUACAACAAUUGAAUGAAGUUCAUAAGUUUGCUGGUGCUGUAGAAAGUUGUUUUGAUAAACAUUGUUCUAAAUAUUUAUUCCAGGAUAUAAUGAGACUGUCAAAGCUAUAUUUGUUAUCCAUCCCUUGUUACCCUAAAGUAUCACUUUUACAACUAAAGUGUAUGUAAGGCCACUUAACAGAUCGUUGUAGUGUAUCUUAUAUAGACAGAUAAAGUAACAUUAGUGAACUGGUUGUGAUUUUACAAUAUAACAGAAGGUCAUCCUAUUGUCCUCUGAUGCCAUCCUUUGAAUCAUGGAUGUAUUAAGUUGAAUUCCAACCCCCCACCCCAAAGACCUUGUGACCAAGAGCUAAUGAAUGAACAGUCAAAGGAUCACACAGUGACAUAUUCUACUCUGAAAGUUUCACUUGGGAGUUUUGAUAUCAAUUGGAGUCCUGGGAGAAACUUAUACAGGAUUGCUGUACCUGCUGCAAUCAAUUGAAAGUGGAAUGGCCUCCUUUGAAAAAUGCAUAUCAGAUUCACAGGGAAAAGACAAUGAUGGCAAAUUCUGGUCAACAGUGGUCUCCUGUGCUAUUUGAAGCAGAAGCUUCCAGACACACAUCGGUCUCAGCAGUGACCCCAUGAAGUAGUUUCCUACCAGCUCUGGGAAAUGAACAUGGUCAUCUUCGUCUCAAAGAAGAAAGGCAGAUAUUUGAAUUUGUUUACUUUAUCUUAGACUCACCUAUACUCAGCAUCAAUAUCUCUCUGCGGUAGAGAAUUCUGAAAACCCUUCAUCUCCUCUCAGUUUUAGAUGGCCAUUCCCUAACUCAGAGACUGAGCCGGAAUGCUAAACUCCCCAGGAGAAUCACUGUUGAACCUUAAUGCGCACACUUUCUAGGGAAAAUCUGCCCUUUCUUGGGUAAGGAAACCAAACUGUACACAGUAUUCCAAAUGUGGCUGUAGCAAGGCUCCCAAAAAAAAACAAUUUCUUUCUUGUACUCCAAUUAGAUGAUAGGUUAGCAUACCAUUUGCUUUCUUAGUUUUCUGUAUUUAAGAUGUACAUGAAUCUAUAUGAUUCAUGAAUGAGAACACCCAGGUCCUUGUGAAUGCCAACAUUUCUCUGACACUCUCCACUUAAAAUGUUCUGCUUUUCUAUUUUCUGCCAGUGUGGAUACCUUCACAUUAUACUCUAUCUGCCAAGUUCUUGCACAUCCUUAAUUUAAAUCUCUUUGCAGUCCCUCUGUAUCCUUUGCACAGCUUAUUUUCUUAUUACUAUAUUUCUUCAAACUCUGUUAUGAUAUACUUUCUCCCCUUGUUUAUAUCAUUGAUCUAAAUUGAACAUUGCUGAAGCCUAAGCACUGACCGCGCCCCCCUCCCCCCCAAUCAAGCCUAUUUGUUACAUCAUCAUAAAUUCUUAACAGAGCUGUGAACCCCUACUCCCCUUUCAGCAAUUAAUAUUGCCUGUAUUUAAUCAGGGUAUGGUUUUUAAAUUGCUCUUAUAACCGAUUUUAGCAUUUUCCCUACUGCUGAGGUCAAGCUAAGUAGCUUGUAAUUCCCUGUGUUUUCUUUCUUGAACAGCUAGGUUAUCUUCUAAACCCUAAAACAUAGGGAAUUCUGGAAGAUCAAACCAAUGCAUCUACUAUCUCUAGCUACUUCUCUUAAAAUUCCAUGGUAUUAUUAAUCAGGUCAAAGAGAUUUGUUUGCUUUUACUCAUUAAUUUCUUCCGCACUAUUUCUUCACCAAUAUGUUCUUCACUUACAUUCGAAUCUUGGAUUCCCUUACCUUGGAUGCUUUUUGUGCUCUAUAUCGUAUUAGGGGAAAAAAAACAAGGUUUUGCUACAGUUUUACAGGGCUCUGAUGAGACCAUAGUUAGUCCUGUGCAUACAUUUGGUCUCCUUGCUUGAUAGUGCAGUAGCUUACAUUUAAUUUUAACAGCAUGGAAAAAAGCUCUAGGCCUAUCAUGUCUCCACCGGUCAAUCUAUCUGUUCAAAUUCAGUGUUCAAGCACUUUGCCCGUAGCCUUAUAUGAUGUAGCAUUUCAAGUGCUUGUUCAAAUAUCUUGAGUUUCUAUCUCUACCACACUUUUAAAGCAGUAAGUUCCAGAUACCCACCACCCUCUGCCAAAAAAAACUUUUUUCCUCAAAUCUCUGAACCUCUUACUCCUCACAUUUAACUGUGCCCACUGAUUAUUGACUCCUCUACUAAUGGAAAUAGGAUUGAUGGGGAGAAAUGAAGAAACUAUCUAUGGUUCUCAUAACUUUGUAUGAUUUAAUCAGGUUCUGUUCUCGAUGUUCUCUGCUCUAAGGAAAAAAAACCCAGUCUUACCUGGUCUCUCUCCAUAGCUGAAUCACUCUGACCCAGGUAACGUUGUGGUGAAUCUCCUCUGCACCCUCUCUAGUGUCAUCACAUCCUUCCAAUAGUGUCGUUUAAUUGAGCAUUCUUCAAGUGAGAAGGUUGACUUUUCAUGAAGUGGACAGCAUUAUCAGCAAAUCUUCAUGAAUGCAUGGUGGGUAUUACAAAACAUGGUUGUGUAUUCCCAACAAGGACCUCAUUCCGUCCCCAUUGAAUAAUAACUCUACGAGUUAGCGCUUACCUCUCUCUAACACGAUCAGGGCUGACAGUAAACUGUUUCAUGUGCAAUUGUUUUCAUAUUCACCCUGUGGGUUUUUAAAAAUUCAACCUCAGGAUGAGACUCUCAUUGACAGGGCCAACAAUUUACUGUCCUUCCCAAAAAUUGUUCUCUGCAAGUGUUGUGGCUGCUUCUUUGAAUCCUCAGCAGAUACUUGACGCAACUGAGCUGCUGACUUGACAGACCACUUUCAAGAACAGUUAAGAGGUUGUCAAAUUGCUGAAGGACUGUGAUAGGGUGAGGUGCCGUAUGUACAUCAGACCAGCGAAGGGCAGCAGGUUUCUUUGACAAAACACAUCAGUGAGUCUGCCAAGAGCCAGUGGUGAAUCCAUCAGAUAUUUAAUCCAGGCCCUAAUGUUUUUAGUCCAAGCUCUUGGAGAACACCCUUGGCUGUAUUGAGAUUGACAUCUUCCCCCACAUUGUGAUGCUCCAUUUCUUUUAGUGAAGGAUCAUUUUGCCAUUUGUCCACCAGACAUGUUCUACAUUAAACAUGUGGCUGGUGAGAGCCCUUCUGCAUGACAAUUGGAAGCAACUUCUUAUUCCCGAUGUUUCCUGUUUAUUUUGAUGCUGACCAUUCAGUCCUAUUAAUAUUUGAUGGAUUCUGGACUUUCACCUCCUUACAGAUGCUGCCUUGCCUGAUGAAAAUCUUCUGUUUUUAUUUUAAUGAUUUCUGUUCUUUUCCAGCUAAUGCAAACAGCAGUUAACCAAAUUAGAGAAUCUUACAGCACAGAAAGAAGUUCAGCCUGUCAUCCCUCUGGCAGCUGUUUGAAAGAGUUAUUUAAUUAGUCCCUCCAUGGUCCUGUAAAUGUUUACUUUUUGGGUGGCCUUUUAAUUGUGUGUACAGAGUUACAAUAAGUCCAUUAGUGUUGGUGAAUUUAGCACUAGCUCUUAACCUUUAUCUAUUUGAAAUUGAGUGAUACAAAGACCAAGCACCAACUUGUUAACCCUGCACCAGCAGUGUUUUUGACCUGGAGCAAGUAACUCUCCUUAAAUUUUUAAAGUAUAAUCCUAAUGAGAAGAAAAACAUUUUGAUACGGAACUCCAAAUGGGGAGCAGGGGCAACCCUGCUUCAUGGAAAAGUAUUUUCCAAAUAAAGGUGGUGGCCCAACCCCAGGAGCUGCCAGCCCAAUCAAAGCUUGAACUCCCUCAGCAGUGCCACCAGCAGCAGUGGCCAGUGCUGAUGCUGCAGCUGCAGUCGAGGGUGCGUCAGUGGCUUGUGUCCUCUUAAAGGAAUAAGCUAUAGGGGAAUGACAAGGAUCAAAAUGCAUGCCCUGCUGGGACAUUGCCCUUAAUUGGCUACUUAAUUGUUUCAGUUGGAUUCCUGCUGACCAGGUGAUCUGCUAAUUGCCAUACAGUUGGGAAAAUAACACAGCAGUGGGAAGAUAUUGAGUGUUUCCCCAACCCCCAUAACACCCAUCUAUACCAUUAGUCUAGCCUUCCUACCUGCCAAUACUGUUUAAUUUUCAUUAGCCACACAAUCUGAUCAUGUCACACAAUCUUCGGGUGGAGACAGGGUGUUCCACAUUAGCUUUCAUCAGGAAUAAAUGUUUUCUGUACAGCUGCCUGUGAGUCCUUUAUAAUUAUGCCUGACUAGUACUGUAGUUGUAUUAAUUGUUAUCAUGCAAUAAACUCUUGUUAAAGAAA